GUAGGUAAGUGAUAUCAUAUCCAUUCCGAUAAACCCACCAGUACUAACUAAAUCAUAGGUGAACCUGCGGAAGGAUCAUUACUGGGUUUAGGACUUCGUGUCCACUCACCCGCCCUUUGUCAUGAGACGCGAAAGCAACUCACAUCAUUUCGAUCCCUGGCUCUUGGGCGCCCCCUACUAUUAGCUUAGUGGGGUACCGUCCAUUAGCCGCGGGUCGGCAUUACAAACCCACGCGGAUUACUGAAGUCUG
rnacentral:misc_RNA from 1 species